rnacentral:snoRNA from 1 species
GGCUUACACUUGAUCUCUGAACUUCAGGUAAGUUCAAAUGUUGACCGGUUAUUGACUGAUGCU